rnacentral:rRNA from 1 species
UACCAGCACCCCGAGUGGUCGGGACGAUUAUUGGGCCUAAAGCAUCCGUAGCCGGCCUUACAAGUCCUCCGUUAAAUCCAGCUGCUUAACAGAUGGGCUGCGGAGGAUACUAUAGGACUAGGAGGCAGGAGAGGCAAGCGGUACUCAGUGGGUAGGGGUAAAAUCCGUUGAUCCAUUGAAGACCACCAGUGGCGAAGGCGGCUUGCCAGAAUGCGCUCGACGGUGAGGGAUGAAAGCUGGGGGAGCAAACCGG